UGGACAAAUUACUGUAUUCGACUGUAUUCACGGCGUGAAACAGGAGAUUACAUUGUUUUAAAACGGAAAGUGUAUCAAUUAACAUAAUAGACUACU
rfam:Nicotiana attenuata strain TT chromosome 2, whole genome shotgun sequence.